AUUGAACGCUGGCGGCAUGCUUUACACAUGCAAGUCGAACGGUAACAGGGAGCUUGCUCCGCUGACGAGUGGCGAACGGGUGAGUAAUGCGUCGGAACGUGCCGAGUAGUGGGGGAUAACGCAUCGAAAGGUGUGCUAAUACCGCAUACGUACUGAGGUAGAAAGUGGGGGACCUUCGGGCCUCACGCUAUUCGAGCGGCCGACGUCUGAUUAGCUAGUUGGUGAGGUAAAGGCUCACCAAGGCGACGAUCAGUAGCGGGUCUGAGAGGACGACCAGCCACACUGGGACUGAGACACGGCCCAGACUCCUACGGGAGGCAGCAGUGGGGAAUUUUGGACAAUGGACGCAAGUCUGAUCCAGCCAUGCCGCGUGCGGGAAGAAGGCCUUCGGGUUGUAAACCGCUUUUGUCAGGGAAGAAACGAGUUUCUCUAAUACAGAGACUUAAUGACGGUACCUGAAGAAUAAGCACCGGCUAACUACGUGCCAGCCGCCGCCGUAAUAC
rnacentral:rRNA from 1 species